rnacentral:rRNA from 1 species
AUGACGAUUUCGAUCCCUUCUUCCCGUCGAGCGUCGAUUGGCACCAUUGGAGCACUCGUGUUUCAGCUCCUGGUGGUGGCACUGGCAGCAGGGCCAAUAGCCUUGCCCGGCUGCCCCGAAAGCUGCGGCCACAUUAUCGUGCCGUACCCUUUCGGCAUCAGCAAAGGCUGCUUCCACGAGGGCUUUGGUCUCACCUGUGACGAGAUGCAGUACCCACCAAGGCUGUUCUUGGGUGAUGGAGUGGAAGUGCUUGGCAUCUCCUUGACUGAUGGCACGGUGCGGAUCCGGAGCAAGGUUUUGCGAUCAAGCUUCUCUGAGUUCAACGGCUCAUGGUCCGGCCCUGCAGUAACCUGGCCCUUCUCGGUAUCAAGCGCGUGGAACUGGUUUGUGGCCAUUGGAUGCAACAUCGUAGCUAAGCUCGGCCAUCCGAGCGGGCUCCAUACUCAGGACGUGAGCCAGGCCAGCACCUGUGCCGCUGCUUGCCUGGACGACCACCAGAACUUCACUGGUACAUCGUGCUCGGGUAUUGGCCGCUGCCGCACAUCUAUCGUGUGGGAGCUGCCAUCCUAUGGCAUCCAAGUUACACCACUUGCUGUGUUGACACCUGACUUCUCGUCAUAAACAGGUGUGUAUGUGUUCAUUGUUGAUCAGGACUGGUUCAGCAGAAACGAAAAUGAGAUGAUGGUCAACUUCACCCAUUCAUAUGAGAAAACCAUGGUUGAGAGUGUACCGGCAGUGUUGGAGUGGUGGUUGGAUUUGAUCGGUAACAAGGACAUGUUGCCAUUGUCUGUCGGGCCCAAUUCUUCUGAAUUUAGAUGUUUAAGCUUGAACAGCGAUAGCUAUUUCGUUUUUGGAGAUUAUGAAAAAAGACGGUGCAACUGUUCUCAAGGAUACGAGGGCAACCCUUACAUCACUGAUGGGUGCCAAGAUAUUAAUGAGUGCCUACAACCAGAUGUUUAUCCCUGCAAUGGGACCUGCAUCAAUAUGCCAGGGACAUACCAAUGCUCAGCAAAGAAAAGAAUCAUCACUUUACCAGGUCUAAUUACCAUAAUAGCAGUUGGUGCUGGUUUUGGCCUAUUGUUUUCACUCCUAGGUGUUGCCCAAGUCACAAAAACACUCAAGAAACAAAGAGCCAAGAAGUUAAGACAAAAAUUCUUUGAGAAAAACCAUGGACUUCUUCUACAACAGUUAAUCUCUUCGAACAAAGAUAUAGCUGAAAAGAUGAAGAUUUUCAGCUUAGAAGAGCUAGAGCAAGCAACCAACAAAUUUGACCGUAAUCGGAUCCUUGGCGGCGGUGGGCAUGGCACGGUGUAUAAAGGCAUCUUAUCUGAUCAACGUGUCGUGGCCAUCAAGAAGGCCAAUAUUGUCGUGCAGAGGGAAAUCGACCAGUUUCUAAAUGAGGUUGUUAUACUUUCACAGACAAACCAUAGGAAUGUGGUGAAGCUCUUUGGUUGCUGCCUCGAGACAGAAGUUCCUCUACUAGUUUAUGAGUUCAUAUCGAAUGGAACUCUCUCGUGUCAUCUCCAUGGCCAAAGUGAUAAUCAUUUGUCAUGGAAAGAUCGAUUAAGGAUUGCACUGGAAACUGCAAGGGCUAUUGCAUAUCUGCACUCUGCUGCUUCCAUAUCAGUAUAUCAUAGAGAUAUCAAAUGCGUCAAUAUACUACUUACUGAUACUUUAAUAGCGAAAGUAUCAGAUUUUGGAGCUUCAAGGUCGAUUGCAAUAGAUGAGACUGGAAUACUUACAGCCAUCCAAGGAACCUAUGGUUACCUUGAUCCUGAAUACUACUACACUAGCCGACUCACGGAGAAGAGUGAUGUUUACAGCUUUGGUGUCAUCCUAGCAGAACUACUGACAAGGAUAACUCCAGUUUUUUCUUCUCAUUCAUCAGAAGGCACAAGCCUAGCAUCACAUUUUGUAUCACUAAUGAGCGACAAUCGCGUGUCAGACAUUCUAGAUACACAAAUUGUUAAUGAAGGAGGAGUUGAAGAUGCUGAGGUCGUUGCAAGACUUGCAAAAGCAUGCUUAAGCUUAAAAGGGGAAGAAAGACCUACAAUGAGGCAAGUGGAGACAAUACUUGAAGGUGUGCAUAGCUCAAGGUUUGAUCACAAUUCUCAGACAAUACGAGUGGGCCAAAGUGCUCUAAAAGACCACCCAUGGAAGGGGAACAAUGGUGGCGAAGGAACUAGAUUAUACAGCUUGGAAAAAGAGUUCAUCGAAUCAUCGGAAAUUCCAAGAUGA